rnacentral:rRNA from 1 species
GACGAACGCUGGCGGCGUGCUUAACACAUGCAAGUCGAACGGAAAGGCCUGCUUUCCCUUGUGGAUUGCGGGUACUCGAGUGGCGAACGGGUGAGUAACACGUGAGUGAUCUGCCCCCAACUUGGGUAUAAGCCUGGGAAACUGGGUCUAAUUCCCGAUAGGACUGCAGGGUGGUGCCUGUGGUGGAAAACGAUUUUCUAGUGGUUGGGGAUGAGCUGGCGGCCUAUCAGCUUGUUGGUGGGGUAAUGGCCUACCAAGGCGGCGACGGGUAGCCGGCCUGGGAGGGUGGACGGCCACAUUGGGACUGGGAUACGGCCCAGACGCCUACGGGAGGCAGCAGUGGGGAAUAUUGCACCAUGGGCGGAAGCCUGAUGCAGCGACGCCGCGUGGGGGAUGACGGCCUUCGGGUUGUAAACUCCUUUCGACCGCGAGGAAGCCACCUGGUUGGAAGGGUGGUGACGGUAGUGGUAGAAGAAGCACCGGCUAACUACGUG